rnacentral:lncRNA from 1 species
AUGGAUGGUUGGAAGCAAGGAAGAAGUGCUAGUCCUACGUGGUGUUGGGCUGAUGGGAGAGGCAUGGUGUAUCCCGAAAAGGCCCAUGAGCUUCUGGAAUCCCCUAUCCUGCUGUGCAACCAGUCACUGUCCUCCGGGGAUCAGGGAAAAGGGGUUGGCAUAUGUGCGCAAGAAGAGCUGUCUGGAAGAUGUCAGCGACCAGGUGGCUCAAAGACAAACUCUUCCUGGCCCAGGCUCCUGCCUAGACACAGCACCAUGCAUCUCCUUGGUCCCUCGCUCCUGCUUCUCGAAUACUUGGCUUUCUCUGACUCAACCUGGAAGUUUAAGCAUCCUGAGACCCUCUAUGCCUGGGAUGGAGCCUGCAUCUGGAUCCCUUGCACAUACUAUUGGCCAAAAGGUGGUGGACACACCCUAGAUAACGUGACUGUGUACCACAAUUUUACGUAUGACAAGGAGGCCAAGCACUACAAGGGGACCAUCCUCUAUUAUAAGAACCUGAAAGCCAAGGAGCCUACCCCCAGUCAGGAAAGGGUACAGUUCCUGGGAAACAACAGAAACAACUGUACCCUCCUCAUCAAUCCUGUCAAGGUCAAUGACAGCGGCCCUCUGGGGCUGAGGAUGACAUCAGGGCUUGACAAAUGGAUGGAGCCUCUAGCCCUCAACAUUUCUGAGAGGGCUCCUCAACCCCACAUAGAGCUCCGUCAGGAAAUCUACGAGGACCAGGAAGUCACUGUCACCUGCUCGCUGAAUUUCGCCUGCCAUGAUUACCAGAUCCAUUUGCAGUGGUCCCUGGAGGGGUCUGUGACCACCAAUACCAUCCUCUCCCCUGAUAUGGUCGCCACCCAGAGCCGCCUCAGUUUCCAGCCCAAGUGGAGUCAUGAUGGCAAGAACCUGACCUGCCAGCUCUGGGACCCCAUGAAACAGCGGGUACUCUCAGAGAAAACGGUGUUGCUGGAAGUGAAGCACGCACCAAAGUUGGAGAUCCAGGUCAGCCCCGAAGAAGCCACCGUCACAGAGGGAGAGUCUGUGACCAUGAGGUGCCAGGUCACCAGCAACCCGCCGCACUGGAGUGUGUCCUGGUUCAAGGACGGGACUCAACUGGAGGAGCAGGGGACAACACUCACUCUGCCCGAAGUGACCAGGAUGAUGAGCGGGCAGUACACGUGCCAGGCCUCCAAUGAUGUGGGCCUAAGACAGUCAGAUGCGGUGGAUCUCCAGGUGCACUAUGCUCCAGAACCUUCCAGGGUUCAGCUCUCCCCCUCGUCAAUUAAAGAAGGAGUUACAGUAGAGCUGGCUUGUAUAUCAGCCGCCAAUCCUCCUCCAGUGAAUUACACCUGGUAUUUCAAUGAGCAAGAACUGCCUGGAAAGAAUGGCAGGACCUUCCAGAUCCCUCAAGUCCUCAUCAAGCAUGCUGGGAAGUACUCCUGCUUGGCAGAAAAUAGUCUCGGGCCUGGAUCUGUUGGCCAGGAAGCUGACUUGGACGUCCAGUAUCCCCCCAAGGGGGUCACCACGGUGAUUCAAAGCCCCACACCAAUUCGAGAAGGAGACAGUGUGACCCUGUCCUGCACCUUCAAUUCCAGUAACCCCACAGUUACUCGAUAUAACUGGAACAGUCCAGGCUCCCAGGACCAGACAUCACAGAAGCUGACGAUUCGAAAAGUCGCCUGGGACGCACAGCCAGUCAAAUGCGAAGCCUGUAACCAGUGGUGUUCGUGGUCUCCCUCCGUCAACCUGAACGUCCUCUAUGCCCCCAAGGACGUCAGCAUCCAGAUCAGCCCUCAUACAGAGAUUCGAUCUGGGAAGCGGAUCCUCCUCCAGUGUGAGUUCUCAAGUAGCCGUCCCGCGGACAUCCAUGUCUUCUGGAAGAAAGAUGGAAGCCUUCUUCUGAAGGCAGGGAAGACACUUACCUUUGACCCCAUCUCUCCAGAAGAUUCGGGAACCUACCACUGCUUGGUCAACAACUCCAUAGGACAGACCUCAUCUGAGGCCCGCGAGCUCCGAGUGAUGUAUGCUCCCAGAAGGCUGCGUGUGUCCAUCAGCCCAAAAGAUGGCGUGGUGGAGGGGAAGACGGCAGUCCUGACCUGCGAGAGCGACGCCAACCCUCCCACCUCCCACUACAACUGGUUUGAUGGGAAUAACCAAGACCUCCACCAUUACGGCCAGACGCUGAGGUUGGAGCCGGUGAAGCUGCAGCACGCAGGCAGCUACUGGUGCCGGGGGACCAACCAUCUGGGCCAGAGCCAGUCGCCCCCGACCACCCUCACUGUCUACUACAGUGCUGCCACCAUCAGCCGGCGUGCGGCCUUGGGAGUGGGGUUCUGCCUGGCCAUCUUCCUUCUGGCCAUCUGGGGAGUCAAGCUUCAGCGGAAUUGGAAGAGGAUUCAGAGACAGCAGGGCCUUCAGGAAAGUUCCAGUGGACAGAGCUUCUUUGUGAGGAAUAUAAAGGCUAGAAGGACCCCCCAAGCCGAACGCCCCCACUCCCUGGGGUGCUACAACCCGGUGAUGGAAGAUACAGUCAGCUAUGCUACCUUGAGCUUUCCUCUUGGCGAGACUGACACGCAGAGACUUAGAGACGCAGGGAGUUCAGAGAUGCGGGAAAUUCCCCCAAGCAGGGACGACAGGGUCACCUAUGCUGUGGUGCAGAACAGUCAAGCGGCCGACUAUGAGAACGUGACUCCGGAGGUCCUAGACGAUGAGGGCAUUCAUUACUCGGAGCUGGUCCAUUUUGGGAAUGGGAAGCGGGCCCUGGCCCAGGAAGGAGUGGAAUACGUGACCCUCAAGCACUGAUGGGCCAAAACCUUCUCAGCCCCUGCUGCUCUGCUGGGGCGUUAUACCCAUGCACACACGCAUGCAAGGUUGCUGCAGCCCAGCUGGUGCAGAGAACUUUGUACGUGGCCCAGACACAGUCUCCCUUCUUAGCACUGGU